CUUUUUGCUUUAUCACCAUAGGCAAUCAACAAUUUUUAUGUAUUUAAUCUUUAUCUCUACUUACAUAUUUUUGCAUGUAUUCUUUAAUUUUAUGUUUAUAAUCAUCAUUGAAUACACAGUCAAUUGCCUUAAUUCAACAAGAGUGGAGUUGAAGUCAAAGUUGUGUUAAUUUGGACUAAAUAAAGGAUUUCUAUUUCCAAAAAAGUAAGUUAAGAAAUCUAUGCUAACAUUGGAAUGCACAUUUCCAUUUUUCCACUCUAGAUUUCUUAUCAUUAAAUAAUAAAGGCAUAAUUAAAUGAGACAGUAAAUGUUGAAAAAGUGUAAGAGUAAACAUGAUUAGCUUAUGAAAUUGUAAGUUGGAUCAUCAGCAACACUACCAACAUCACACAUAAAACACACACACACACACUCCUAUUACACACAUUCAGCACCCCUGCACACAGAGUUAAAUCUUAUUUGAUGACUUCCCAUUGGUUUUAGGAUAAAGAAAUGACUCUUAUAGAGGCAAAUAUAGUGUGUAAUUACCUAUUUACUAUGCCAUUUUCUAUUUCCCCUGGGCAGCGUGCUCUCUGGCACAUUCUGUAUUUCACAUACACUGGCAUUCUACAAUCCCUAUUCCUUGCUAUGAACGCUUCUAACUCAAGACUUUUGUACCUCAGCAUUGUUUUAUUUCAUCUCAUCCUUAUAAACUUACAGAUAUCAGAUCACACACCUCAACAGUUACAUUAAUCCUAUACAUCUCUACUAUAUAUAAAUCUGAGCUGCAUUUUUAUGCACUUCGCUGGCAUAACUACUUCAUAGUUCAUGAGAUUAUAUUCAGUAAUCAAGCCUUGAGAUGAGCUGUAUUAUUUUUCUUUGUGAUCAUCAUGAAACAUUUCUAUCCAAGAGGGAGAAGACGUUUGUAAUAUUUGCGAAGAGACUUUUAUGGUAUAGCAGUAGAGUGGGUUAGAAGAUAGAGGCUUGAGAUCCAGAAAGAUUCAAGUUCCAAUCAGGCUUCCACCACUUAUUAGCUGAGCGCCCCCAAGAGAGUAAUUGCCUUUUCUAGGCUAUGGUUUUAAUUUUCAUCAGUAAACUACUACUAAUACUACAACCACCUGUUGUUUGGAGUUGCUCUAAGGAUUGGAUAUAAUACAGUUAAAGUGACUAACAAUAGGUGCAUAAGAAUUCAGAGAAAUAGCUAAUGUAAAACUAAGAGAAAGUGGAAAAAAAUUGAUUCUUCCAAACACUACUGCAUUUGGUAAUGAUAAGCCACUUAGAAUAAUUGAUCGUUUUUUAUUUUUCUUCCACCUCUGUUACUCUAGAUGGUGAUUAAACUUGGCUUAAGCUAAUUCUCAGCUCUGAACUGAAGCGACUAGAAGACUGAAUGGUUUGAGGAGGAAUUCUUCUACUGCAGUGGUAUAUCUGCUAGAGGCUGAGCCAGAAGUACAGGAACUCAAAGUGUUGCUACGUAGUAACUAGAGACCUAAAAUGCCAUCAUGUGGAAACGAUCCAUUUGCUUUAGGUUCAACAGUGAAGAUGGGGGAAUGUUGACUGAGAAGCCAAAGAAACCCACCUUCCAGAGCCUUUCUUUGGUUUUGACAAGUAAACAAUGUACCUUCUUGCAAUUAUCACCGUUCAUUUUUAACUCUGAAAAGUGACCUCGAGGAGGUUGGUGUCUUCACAGCCACAGCUCAGAAUUAAUCAGGCUGCUUGACUCAAAUCUCAGCUUCACCACUUGCUCACUGUAGAACUUGGCCAAGGUUCUCACCUUCUCUGCACCAUGGUUUGCUGGACAAUUGAAUCAGGACAUGGAUGAUUAUGAUAAAAUCUAAAUGUUAUCAUCAGCAACCAGCACAGAGAAAACACUCAGUAAAAAUUAGCUCAUAAUAUCUGCUCUAGUAGGAGGGGCUUGUGAUGUUUUUCUAAUAAAGAAAUAUUCUUUUAAUGUGAUAAUGAAAUAUUCCACAGUAUGGAAUUAUUAGCUCAUUUCCAUCUACUCUAAGGACAAAUGUAGGUGAUAUCUCACAGAGUGAAAAGGAAAAAAUGCAGGAGAGGGAAGAAAGGGGAAGUAAAGAGAAAGAAGAAAAAGAAGAAAGCAAGAAAGCAAAAAUUAUUGACUGGUUUGUAUUGGAAAAAUAAAUUGAAAUAACAUCAUAGUUUGGAAGGAUGAAGCAAAAAUAGUCAAGAAUGGCAACAUAACUUGAGGGGCAAGUGUGAAAUGAAAAUACGGCAACUUCUUGUCCAAAAAUUAUUACAAAUUUCAAGAAGAUGAGAGCCGUCUAAUAACCAACAUGGGUUCUUUGGAUCACAGAGCCCCAUGUAACUUGUCCCACCAUGAAGCCAGCCUUCUGUAUAGUGUCUUUAUUUUGUCUUAAAUUAAUUCAUUCCUCAAGAGCUCUCACACGCAGCUUAGGGAGGUCAGACGUGAACUUUUGUGCCAUCUGCUAUUGAUUCUUGGUCUGACCUGGUAAUUUAUGUUCAUAUAGUUUUAGUUUGGUUAGGUAAAAGAGCUCAGUUUCUCAGUUUCUUUCUCCUCUGGCUAUGUUUUAAGAAUUUUAGAGUGUAUUGAGGGGAGAGGGUCUCUGGAACAGUUCUCUGGUCGUUCCGUUUGUUCAGUAACAUUUCUUUUUUAUCUGUGUGAUACUUGGCAUUACAGGCCAAAGUCUGUAGUUGAUUAACUUCGGAUGUGAGGUCAUCUGUUUUUCAAAAUGACUAUCAUUGUUGAAUUGUAAACAAAAUAGGUCACAGAGUUAAGUUUCUCUUCAAGUGCAUGGAAACUUGGCAAAAAGUGGGAUAAACCACAAUUAAAAUAAAUAUAUGUGUAUUUUCUCUACAAAUAAAUUGUGACUUUAUUUUUUUCUAUGAUUUUCAAAAUAUUUACAAAUGAAAAUGUUAGUCAGAUUUCUAUCGCUAAGAAAAUCAACUUAAAGGAGGAAAGAUUUAUUUUGGUUCAGGGUCUCAGGAGUUGCGUUCCAUGGCUGGCCUGUUCCAUUGUUGGGUUUGGGAGACACAGCUCAUCAUGACAUUAAGGAUAUGGGUGGAGCAAAGCUACUCACCUCAUGGUGGCCUAGAAGCCAAAAAACAGAAAGAGAGAGAGGG
ensembl:lncRNA